GACGAACGCUGGCGGCGUGCUUAACACAUGCAAGUCGAGCGGAGCGGCGAACGGGUGAGUAACGCGUGAGUAACUGCCCCCCUCUCUGGGAUAACAGUUGGAAACGGCUGCUAAUACCGGAUAGUGGGGGAUGGCUCGCGUCUUAUCAGCUUGUUGGUGGGGUAGUGGCCUACCAAGGCGACGUCGGGUAGCCGGCCUGAGAGGGCGACCGGCCACAUUGGGCUGGGAUACGGCCCAAACUCCUACGGGGGGCAGCAGUGGGGAAUAAUGCACAAUGGGGGAAACACUGAUGCAGCAACGCCGCGGGCGGGAUGACGGUCUUCAGGUUGUAAGACGCUUUCAGCCAUGACGCGGUAGUGGCAGAAGAAGCACCGGCUAACUACGGGCAAGCAGCCGCGGUAAUA
rnacentral:rRNA from 1 species